UACGAAGGGGGCGAGCGUUGUUCGGAUUUACUGGGCGUAAAGGGCGCGCAGGCGGCCAUGUUUGUCAGGCGUGAAAGCCCCGGGCUUAACCUGGGAGGUGCGUUUGAUACGGUAUGGCUAGAGUUCGGGAGAGGAGAGUGGAAUUCCCAGUGUAGAGGUGAAAUUCGUAGAUAUUGGGAAGAACACCGGUGGCGAAGGCGGCUCUCUGGACCGAGACUGACGCUGAGGCGCGAAAGCGUGGGGAGCAAACAGG
rnacentral:rRNA from 1 species